AAGUCGUAACAAGGUUUCCGUAGGUGAACCUGCGGAAGGAUCAUUACCGAUUUUAGCGAACCUGACCUUUGGUUAUGGUAUCGCGAAAACAUUGUAUUUAAAACCCACUCAUAAAAAAAAAAAAUUUUUUAUAUAUAAAUAAAUAAAGAUCACUUUCAACAACGGAUCUCUUGGUUCUG
rnacentral:misc_RNA from 1 species